CUCAGAACGAACGCUGGCGGCAGGCUAACACAUGCAAGUCGAGCGCCGUAGCAAUACGGAGCGGCGGACGGGUGAGUAACGCGUGGGAACAUACCCCUUGGUUCGGAAUAACUCAGGGAAACUUGAGCUAAUACCGGAUAAGUCGGCAACGAGAAAGAUUGAUCGCCGAGGGAUUGGCCCGCGUCCGAUUAGCUAGUUGGUGAGGUAACGGCUCACCAAGGCGACGAUCGGUAGCUGGUCUGAGAGGAUGAUCAGCCACAUUGGGACUGAGACACGGCCCAAACUCCUACGGGAGGCAGCAGUGGGGAAUAUUGGACAAUGGGCGCAAGCCUGAUUCCCAGCCAUGCCGCGUGAGUGAUGACGGCCUUAGGGUUGUAAAGCUCUUUCGCCAGGGACGAUAAUGACGGUACCUGGAUAAGAAGCCCCGGCUAACUUCGUGCCAGCCGCCGC
rnacentral:rRNA from 1 species